GCCUGGUGCCUGAGAUUUACUACGGAGGUGGGCAGAAAGUUUAUUUCUAUUAAGUUUCCAAGUAGUACUGAUAUUGCCGGUUCAAAUUUUGAGAACCACUGCUCUAAGUCAUUUAGUUCAUAUUUCUUAUUUAUUUGCAUAUUUGUUUCUUUCCUUCAUGUAGGAAUAAAUCUGUACUUAGAGGGAAUAAAUUCAUGUGAAAUAUUAGAAGACUACUUUAAGAAUAAAAGAAUGGACAUAGUAUCUUCUGAAGCCUUUUCUACUCCUGUGAUAUUUUUCAUUUUCAAGUAUGAUACAAGUCUAAAGAAGAUAAACAUGCCCUGCUUUUAUCAGGUGCUUUGUGUGCAGUGGCAUGUAAUUAGCCAACAGCUUGGGGCUUGAUUAAA
rnacentral:lncRNA from 1 species